rnacentral:SRP_RNA from 1 species
GGCUAGAGCCCGCGCGACGAAAACCUGCUAACCCCGUCAGGACCGGAAGGUAGCAGCGGCGAGCGGGACCUUUCGGGUGCCGCGGAGUUCUAGCCCGA